rnacentral:tRNA from 1 species
AGGAGAUUAGUUCAGCUGGUAGAACGCCAGUCUCCAAAACUGGAAGUCGGGAGUUCAAGUCUCUCAUCUCCUG